AAUGAACGUUGGCGGCGUGGAUUAGGCAUGCAAGUCGUGCGGAAAGGCUCCUUCGGGAGUACUCGAGCGGCGAAAGGGAGAGCAACGCGUGGAUAUCUACCCCCUGGUCUGGGAUAGCGGCGGGAAACUGCCGGUAAUACCAGAUAAAGUCUGCGGACCAAAGGUGUGAUUCCGCCGGGGGAUGAGUUCGCGUCCUAUUAGCUAGUUGGUGGGGUAAUGGCCUACCAAGGCAAAGAUGGGUACCGGGUGUGAGAGCAUGGCCCGGCUCGCUGGGACUGAGACACUGCCCAGACACCUACGGGUGGCUGCAGUCGAGAAUCUUCGGCAAUGGGCGCAAGCCUGACCGAGCGACGCCGCGUGCGGGAUGAAGACCUUCGGGUUGUAAACCGCUGUCAGAGGGGAGGAAAUGCAUGAGAGUUAUCUCUCAUGUUUGACCUAUCCUCAGAGGAAGUACGGGCUAAGUUCGUGCCAGCCGCCGCAGUAACAC
rnacentral:rRNA from 1 species